GGAGUACCCAGCGGAUCUCAGAGGGACCUGCUGGACACUCAUAUAGGAGAUCAGCAGUCACUGUCUCGGAUCACCAGUGAGCUGAGCCGGUGCUCGACAGGUCCAGAAUAGUGCCAAGGCCUCUUCUCAGUGUCAUGGAGAGGGAUGGUUCCAGAAAUCUUCCAGGCGGUCUCACGCUUAUAAAAUGAAAGUUCACGAUGAGGAGGGUGCUCUGAGGGGCUUAUUCUUCAGUGAAAGGACCUCUGUCCACAAACAUUCAUAAAUGGAGCAGGACAUGCAUUUCAUCAAACAGGAUUAGGGCUCAGACCAUCUGCAUCUCACUCUCAUAAGGCCAAUGUGUCAUUUACCUUCCCUUUCUUAUCAUGGAUCAGGCUGUGAGCUACGAAAUGUUCUGCCUCAUGAAUAUGCAAAUACGCUGAGAUCCACUGAACUAAAUAACCUGACAUCCACUGGAUGUCUGUGCCCUGAGAGCAUCAUCCAACAACCAAUCCCUCCUCUAGAGAAUCCCCUGAGAGCUCAGCUUCUCACCAUGGACUGGUCCGGGAGGAUCGUUUUUUGGGUGGCAGCAACUACAGGUGCCCACUCCCAGGUGCAGCUGGUGCAGUCUGAGGCUGAGGUGAGGAAGCCUGGGCCUCAGUGAAGGUCUCCUGUAAUUUUUCUGGGUUCAUCAUCACAAGCUACAGCAUACACUGGGCACGACAGGCCCCUGGACAAGGGCUUAAGUGGAUGGGAUGGAACAACCCUAGCAAUGGUAACAGAGUCUACACGCAGAAGUUUAAGGACAGACUCACUGUGACCAGGGGCACGUCCAAGAGCGUAGCCUACACAGAGCUGAGCAGCCUGAGAUCUGAGGACAUGGCUGUGUAUUACUCUGCACGACACACAGUGUGAAAACCCACAGCCUGAGAGAGUCUGAGGGCCUGAGGGAGGGGGCAGUUGUGCUGGGCAUGAGGAGAUGACAGGGAUUAUUUGAUUGCAGACUUUCUUAGAAAGUGAGGUUAAGUCAUUGAAGAAAAGGAACUAGAGAAAUGUGUAUGCACUCUAAUUAUUUGAGAAAUUUUCCGUACAAUAUUUACUCUGUAAGCGAAAUUCAAGGAGUAGAAAACAGUCAAAUUAAUAGAACUGAUAUAGGAAUUGCUCUGAAGAUACUAGUGUGAGCAUGAGUUUUGAAUCCGUGUUGUAAAUAUUUUGGAACUCAGCUGUGUUUUUAUCUCUCUGUUUACCUCCGUUUACCUCCAUUAUAUGAAAUAUCAAAAUGUUUUAAUGUUUUUCCAUAGUGCGAAGUUAUGAUUUGGGGCUCAUGCCAGCAAUGCAUGAUAGAUCUCGGUUCUUCCUCAUUCUUAUUGCCAUUUGGCACUAUGAAUAUUGUGUAUUUUAACCAUUCUACUAGAUUAUUAGUGGUAUCCCAUUGUUGUUUAAAUGCACAUCUCUAUUUAAAAUUUUAUAUUUAAUUAUUUUUAUAUAAUUAUGAUGAAGUGUCUAUUUUGAUAUUCCGCUCAUUUUUAAUUUAACUUUUUUCUUUUGAUCCAUUGUAUGCUUCCUUACAUACCCAAUAUAAAAUUCAUUUAUCAAGUUAAUAUAAAGCCAUUUAACAAAUAUGUGAUUUGGAAGUGUAUUCUUCAAGCCUGUAGUUGUAUUUUCACUGCUUUAUCAGUGUCUGUGGCAGAAAAAUGUUCAUAUACACACAUAUAUAUAUGUCUAUACACAUUUAUGUGUGUGUGUGCAUGUGUGUACAAACUUGGAUAAAAUAAUUUUAAUUUUCCACAGAUUAUACUUCUGGUAUUAUUCUAAAACUACUUAGAAAAUUAACUCUAACAGAAAAACUUGUGUCUCUAAUCUCUGGCCACAAUCACAGCAUAUUUCUUUAAAUUUCACCUACUUUAUGGGAGGAUUAUUAACUUAGGAUGUUUGAAAUUCUUCUACAUGAAAAAUGUCUUUUUUUCAACUUUUUGAAAGUUUAAUUAUCUGUUCAUAUCAGUGUUGGUUCAUUAACAUUUAUUUUUCACUAUGGAGAAAAUUUGAUGUUACAUUAUUCAUUUUAUUGCUCAAAUCACCACAGCUUUUUUAGGUCCUGUGUGCUCAUUUAGUUUGGAUUCUGUUUCCUCACAGCACACCCCAUCCUUUUGUUUUUGAACAUGUUCCUUUGUCCUGGUCUUACAAGAAAUUCCAAGUUCAUUUUCUU
ensembl:lncRNA